GACGAACGCUGGCGGCGUGCUUAACACAUGCAAGUCGAACGGAAAGGCCCUGCUUUUGUUGGUUUCUCGUGUGGCGAACGGGUGUGUAACACGUGAGUAACCUGCCCUUGACUUUGGGAUAACUUCAGGAAACUGGGGCUAUUAUAGGAUAGGAGCUCCUGCUGCAUGGUGGUGGUUGGAAAGUUUCGGCUGUUGGGGAUGGUCUCGCGGCUUAUCCGCUUGUUGGUGGGGUAGUGGCGUACCAAGGCUUUGACGGGUAGCCGGCAUGAGAGGGUGAACGGCGACAAUGGGACUGAGAGACGGCGCAGACUGCUAUGGGAGGCAACAGGGGGGAAUAUGGCACAAUGGGCGGGAGCCUGAGGCAGCAACGCCGCGUGCGGGAUGACGGGCUUCGGGUUGUAAACCGCUUUGGCCUGUGACAAAGCGUGAGUGACGGUAAUGGGUAAGGAAGCACCGGCUAACUACGUG
rnacentral:rRNA from 1 species